GUGUCAGCAGCCGCGGUAAUACGGAGGAUCCAAGCGUUAUCCGGAAUCAUUGGGUUUAAAGGGUCCGUAGGCGGUCUUGUAAGUCAGUGGUGAAAGCCCGUCGCUCAACGACGGAACGGCCAUUGAUACUGCAGGACUUGAAUUACUGGGAAGUAACUAGAAUAUGUAGUGUAGCGGUGAAAUGCUUAGAGAUUACAUGGAAUACCAAUUGCGAAGGCAGGUUACUACCAGUGGAUUGACGCUGAUGGACGAAAGCGUGGGUAGCGAACAGGAUUAGAAACCCCCGUAGUCC
rnacentral:rRNA from 1 species